rnacentral:rRNA from 1 species
CGGAGGGUGCAAGCGUUGUUCGGAUUUAUUGGGCGUAAAGCGCGUGUAGGCGGUUUCUUAAGUCUGAUGUGAAAGCCCUGGGCUCAACCCAGGAAGUGCAUUGGAUACUGGGAGACUUGAAUACGGGAGAGGGCAGUGGAAUUCCUAGUGUAGGAGUGAAAUCCGUAGAUAUUAGGAGGAACACCGGUGGCGAAGGCGGCUGCCUGGACCGAUAUUGACGCUGAGACGCGAAAGCGUGGGGAGCAAACAGGAUUAGAUACCCUGGUAGUCCACGCCGUAAACGAUGAGAACUAGGUGUUGCGGGUAUUGACCCCUGCAGUGCCACAGCUAACGCAUUAAGUUCUCCGCCUGGGAAGUACGGUCGCAAGACUA